GAUUUCAACUGAAAAAGUCAUCAACAACAAAGUUGUAUAACUCAUCAAAAUCUAUAACUUUUAUUUUGGUCAUUUCUUCAUCCGACAAAGUGAUUGUAACAUUGUUCACAAAAUUUGCAUCUAUCUCAUUUGGUUUAUUAAACUAUAAGAGAGAUAUGUAAACUUUGUGAACAAUAUUAUUAUCAAUUUAUCGGAUGAAGAAAUAACCAAAAUAAAAGUUGUAUAUCUUGAUGAGCUCUGCAACUUUCAUGUUCAUGUACAGGUGAAAUU
rnacentral:pre_miRNA from 1 species